ACCAUUGAAAAUCUCAGACGAAUGCACUAUCUCAUAUUUGCCUUCGCAAGGAGGCUAUGGUGCUAAACCUUUUGUGCAAUAGAUGUACAGGACGCGGCUUCGACGCCGCCGCCUCCACCAAGAACAGCUCCGUCGAGCUGCUGUUGAUGGGGGCGACAUGGGAUCGACUGGCAUUGAAAGACAAAAGUUGUGCUCGGCAUGAUACCACCGUUAUCGGGUCAAAAUAGUAGUUGCAAACGACAACUAUGCGGAAGCUCGUCUCGCUGCUUAAUCGCAGUGUGACACUUCAAAUCAAGUCCUGAAGGUUCGCACCUUAAGGCGGGGUUCGGAGGUACCUGGCAACAGAAACCUCCACC
rnacentral:tmRNA from 1 species